CCCGACCUUGCCGCCUCCCCCCCCGCCCCGCGCCGGCACCUCCAGGACGACGCGGCCCAGCGGCUGCCCGUCGGCGCCCACGUCCAGAUGAGAGUUUGGGGGUUGAGCUGCAUUUAUUGAAAAAGGAAUUGCUCAGGAAUUACUCAUCGCAGAGCAACUGUUAACAGCUAUUUCCCAGUGACUGGAAGCCAGCGCUGUGCUGCCCCUCCGCUCUGCUCUGAGCAGCUGUCACAACACUGACUCACAUGGAAACGCACCAUCUGCCCGCUCACCACUGCCCUGUACUGCAGUACCUUUCCUGUUCUCUGACUGCGUGACUCCACUGACCACGUCUCAUCUCGGUUACGUAACGUUAACUGCUAAAACUACAACUACAGAGGAGUACUGACAACACAUCUUAUAAUCACUGUGAAGAACAUUAAAAAAUGCAACAAGGUAAAACAAAGAGAAAGAAUAACGUUACAGUUGGAACAUUUUGAGAUUGACAGGAUGGAUCACUCCUGUCAUCAGCCUCAUAAUGGCAAUAUGAAAAUAAAGCUUCUUCACAGAGGGACCAUCAUCAUAAUUUAGAAAAGAAAACUUCAAGCAAACUAUGAUUUUUUAUGAAGAAAGUAUUCUGCAUAACUUUGUGAACUGGGUAUGUCCACUCUCCACUACUCACAAACUGGGAUAGAUAAUCAGAUGUGUACAUGAAUAAAUCUAGAUUUCAUUGAUUUUGCACAUUGAAAGUGUUCAGAAUGGAGCAGUUCAUCAUUCUGAGAAAUACAGCAGUAACAAACAGAAAAAAUAAGCAUUAAUUAUAAAUUUGAAAGAUAAGACUAGUUGUUGAAAAUUUGAAUGGUUUAAAAAGCCAUAAAAAAACAGACUUCAAGAACUCCAGCAUUUCAUCCAUUGACUUGAACAUAGUGAAAUUUAAAAAAUUAUGAUAAAGAAAAAUAUAAAUAGAUACUAAAUGAUGUUUGACGUGUCCAUGAGCACUGAGAUAAAAUGGGAAAUGAUUCAAAGAAUUACUCAUGCUGUAAGCAGUGUUAAUGUACAAGAAGUUGGAAAAUAGUGGCUCAGUAAGAAAAGUUCAGAAGUAAUCAAGAGGUAAAGAAGAAACAGGUGGAAAAAUUACAGAAUGCAUUAAUACAUGUGGCAUAUCUGGGCAUGAGAAAAGCUGGAAAAGGCAAAGCUUAAAAAGAUGUGUAUCUACAGAGUGGAUUUUCAUUUCCAUUAAAAUAUUUGCCUUUUACGCUAACAGUCUAAAUAAUUUCUAAAGAGCACAUAAUUUUGUUCAUUAUCAAAUUGCAGUAGAGAUACUUAUUCACAUGCCUUCAUUACCUUUAGCAGUACCUAAAUCAUUUAGCUAACCCUCACCCCCAUGCACCAUGAUCAAGUAUUUCUUCCUACAUAUCACAACAAUUCUAAAAUAAACAGCUGGACAAGAUACAUCAUGGUUUAGAUAGACUAAAGAGGUGAAAGUAAAACAUUUCCAAGGUAUGCCUCUUUUUAGAACUUCUCACACAAAAACAUUUUUCUGUGUUUUGUUUUCUAUUAUUAUAUUUCAUGUCUAUUUUAAACCAAAAUAUGUAUCAAAAUGACUA